rnacentral:rRNA from 1 species
AGUGAACGCUGGCGGUAGGCCUAACACAUGCAAGUCGAACGGCAGCACAGUAAGAGCUUGCUCUUACGGGUGGCGAGUGGCGGACGGGUGAGGAAUACAUCGGAAUCUACUUUUUCGUGGGGGAUAACGGAGGGAAACUUACGCUAAUACCGCAUACGACCUACGGGUGAAAGCAAGGGAUCUUCGGACCUUGCGCGAUUGAAUGAGCCGGUGUCGGAUUAGCUAGUUGGCGGGGUAAAGGCCCACCAAGGCGACGAUACGUAGCUGGUCUGAGAGGAUGAUCAGCCACACUGGAACUGAGACACGGUCCAGACUCCUACGGGAGGCAGCAGUGGGGAAUAUUGGACAAUGGGCGCAAGCCUGAUCCAGCCAUACCGCGUGGGUGAAGAAGGCCUUCGGGUUGUAAAGCCCUUUUGUUGGGAAAGAAAAGCAGCAGGUUAAUACCUCGCUGUUCUGACGGUACCCAAAGAAUAAGCACCGGCUAACUUCGUG